ACGCUUCUUUUUCCACCGGAGCUUGCUCCACCGGAAAAAGAAGAGUGGCGAACGGGUGAGUAACACGUGGGUAACCUGCCCAUCAGAAGGGGAUAACACUUGGAAACAGGUGCUAAUACCGUAUAACAAUCGAAACCGCAUGGUUUUGAUUUGAAAGGCGCUUUCGGGUGUCGCUGAUGGAUGGACCCGCGGUGCAUUAGCUAGUUGGUGAGGUAACGGCUCACCAAGGCCACGAUGCAUAGCCGACCUGAGAGGGUGAUCGGCCACAUUGGGACUGAGACACGGCCCAAACUCCUACGGGAGGCAGCAGUAGGGAAUCUUCGGCAAUGGACGAAAGUCUGACCGAGCAACGCCGCGUGAGUGAAGAAGGUUUUCGGAUCGUAAAACUCUGUUGUUAGAGAAGAACAAGGAUGAGAGUAACUGUUCAUCCCUUGACGGUAUCUAACCAGAAAGCCACGGCUAACUACGUGCCAGCAGCCGCGGUAAUACGUAGGUGGCAAGCGUUGUCCGGAUUUAUUGGGCGUAAAGCGAGCGCAGGCGGUUUCUUAAGUCUGAUGUGAAAGCCCCCGGCUCAACCGGGGAGGGUCAUUGGAAACUGGGAGACUUGAGUGCAGAAGAGGAGAGUGGAAUUCCAUGUGUAGCGGUGAAAUGCGUAGAUAUAUGGAGGAACACCAGUGGCGAAGGCGGCUCUCUGGUCUGUAACUGACGCUGAGGCUCGAAAGCGUGGGGAGCAAACAGGAUUAGAUACCCUGGUAGUCCACGCCGUAAACGAUGAGUGCUAAGUGUUGGAGGGUUUCCGCCCUUCAGUGCUGCAGCUAACGCAUUAAGCACUCCGCCUGGGGAGUACGACCGCAAGGUUGAAACUCAAAGGAAUUGACGGGGGGCCCGCACAAGCGGUGGAGCAUGUGGUUUAAUUCGAAGCAACGCGAAGAACCUUACCAGGUCUUGACAUCCUUUGACCACUCUAGAGAUAGAGCUUCCCCUUCGGGGGCAAAGUGACAGGUGGUGCAUGGUUGUCGUCAGCUCGUGUCGUGAGAUGUUGGGUUAAGUCCCGCAACGAGCGCAACCCUUAUUGUUAGUUGCCAUCAUUCAGUUGGGCACUCUAGCAAGACUGCCGGUGACAAACCGGAGGAAGGUGGGGAUGACGUCAAAUCAUCAUGCCCCUUAUGACCUGGGCUACACACGUGCUACAAUGGGAAGUACAACGAGUCGCGAAGUCGCGAGGCUAAGCUAAUCUCUUAAAGCUUCUCUCAGUUCGGAUUGUAGGCUGCAACUCGCCUACAUGAAGCCGGAAUCGCUAGUAAUCGCGGAUCAGCACGCCGCGGUGAAUACGUUCCCGGGCCUUGUACACACCGCC
rnacentral:rRNA from 1 species